GACGAACGCUGGCGGCGCGCUUAACACAUGCAAGUCGAGCGAGAACCGGGGCUUCGGCCCCGGGGACAGCGGCGAACGGGUGAGUAACACGUGAGUAACCUGCCCUCGGCACCGGAAUAGCCCGGGGAAACUCGGAUUAAUGCCGGAUAGCCCCUCUGCCCUGCGGGGCGGCGGGAAAAGGUAGCUUCGGCCUCUGGCCGAGGCUGGGCGCGCGGCGGAUUAGCUUGUGGGCGGGGUAACGGCCAACCAAGGCGACGAUCCGUAGCUGGUCUGAGAGGACGAUCAGCCACACUGGGACUGAGACACGGCCCAGACUCCUACGGGAGGCAGCAGUGGGGAAUCUUGCGCAAUGGGCGAAAGCCUGACGCAGCGACGCCGCGUGCGGGAAGAAGGCCUUCGGGUUGUAAACCGCUUUCAGGAGGGACGAAGCCACUCGGGUGAACAGCCCAGAGGGUGACGGUACCUCCAGAAGAAGCCCCGGCUAACUACGUGCCAGCCGCCGCCGUAACAC
rnacentral:rRNA from 1 species